rnacentral:tRNA from 1 species
UUCCCCUUGGUCUAGUGGUUAGGAUUCAACACUCUCACCGCCGCAGCCCGGGUUUGAUUCCCAGGCAGGGAAG